GAGUUUGAUCGUGGCUCAGGAUGAACGCUGGCGGCGUGCCUAAUACAUGCAAGUCGAGCGAACAGACGAGGAGCUUGCUCCUCUGACGUUAGCGGCGGACGGGUGAGUAACACGUGGAUAACCUACCUAUAAGACUGGGAUAACUUCGGGAAACCGGAGCUAAUACCGAAUAAUAUAUUGAACCGCAUGGUUCAAUAGUGAAAAACGGUUUUGCUGUCACUUAUAGAUGGAUCCGCGCCGCAUUAGCUAGUUGGUAGGGUAACGGCUUACCAAGGCGACGAUGCGUAGCCGACCUGAGAGGGUGAUCGGCCACACUGGAACUGAGACACGGUCCAGACUCCUACGGGAGGCAGCAGUAGGGAAUCUUCCGCAAUGGGCGAAAGCCUGACGGAGCAACGCCGCGUGAGUGAUGAAGGUCUUCGGAUCGUAAAACUCUGUUAUUAGGGAAGAACGAAAUGUGUAAGUAACUAUGCACGUCUUGACGGUACCUAAUCAGAAAGCCACGGCUAACUACGUGCCAGCCG
rnacentral:rRNA from 1 species